rnacentral:rRNA from 2 species
GACGAACCGUGCGAACGUUAUUCGGAAUCACUGGGCUUAAAGCGCGUGUAGGCGGGCCGGCACGUCGGUCGCUGAAAUCCCCCGGCUCAACCGGGGAAGUGGCGCCGAUACGACCGGCCUGGAGGGGGGUAGGGGGCGCUGGAACUCACGGUGGAGCGGUGAAAUGCGUUGAGAUCGUGAGGAACGCCCGCGGCGAAAGCGAGCGCCUGGACCCUUUCUGACGCUGAGACGCGAAAGCCAGGGGAGCGAACGGG